UGGGGAAUAUUGGACAAUGGGGGCAACCCUGAUCCAGCGAUGCCGCGUGUGCGAAGAAGGCCUGCGGGUUGUAAAGCACUUUGGUUGGGGAAGAAGGUUUGGGCGUUGAAUAGAUGCCUGAAUUGACGUUACCCAAAGAACAAGCACCGGCUAACUCUGUGCCAGCAGCCGCGGUAAUACAGAGGGUGCGAGCGUUAAUCGGAAUUACUGGGCGUAAAGCGCACGUAGGUGGGCAGUUAAGUCAGGGGUGAAAGCCCGAGGCUCAACCUCGGAAUUGCCUCUGAUACUGGCUGUCUAGAGUUCGAGAGAGGUGAGUGGAAUUCCUAGUGUAGAGGUGAAAUUCGUAGAUAUUAGGAAGAACACCAGUGGCGAAGGCGGCUAACUGGUCCGGUACUGACGCUGAGGUGCGAAAGCGUGGGGAGCAAACAGGAUUAGAUACCCCCGUAGUCCCUGAGCGGGCUGGCAAGGCGCAU
rnacentral:rRNA from 1 species